rnacentral:rRNA from 1 species
UACGUAGGGGGCAAGCGUUGUCCGGAUUUAUUGGGCGUAAAGAGCGUGUAGGCGGUUUGGUAGGUCCGCUGUGAAAACUCGAGGCUCAACCUCAAGACGCCGAUGGAAACCGCAUGGCUAGAGUCCGGAAGAGGAGAGUGGAAUUCCUGGUGUAGCGGUGAAAUGCGCAGAUAUCAGGAAGAACACCCGUGGCUAAGGCGGCUCUCUAGUACGGUACUGACGCUGAGACGCGAAAGCGUGGGGAGCGAACAGG